rnacentral:rRNA from 1 species
AGAGCUUGCUCUUAUGAAGUUAGCGGCGGACGGGUGAGUAACACGUGGGUAACCUGCCCAUAAGACUGGGAUAACUCCGGGAAACCGGGGCUAAUACCGGAUAACAUUUUGAACCGCAUGGUUCGAAAUUGAAAGGCGGCUUCGGCUGUCACUUAUGGAUGGACCCGCGUCGCAUUAGCUAGUUGGUGAGGUAACGGCUCACCAAGGCAACGAUGCGUAGCCGACCUGAGAGGGUGAUCGGCCACACUGGGACUGAGACACGGCCCAAACUCCUACGGGAGGCAGCAGUAGGGAAUCUUCCGCAAUGGACGAAAGUCUGACGGAGCAACGCCGCGUGAGUGAUGAAGGCUUUCGGGUCGUAAAACUCUGUUGUUAGGGAAGAACAAGUGCUAGUUGAAUAAGCUGGCACCUUGACGGUACCUAACCAGAAAGCCACGGCUAACUACGUGCCAGCAGCCGCGGUAAUACGUAGGUGGCAAGCGUUAUCCGGAAUUAUUGGGCGUAAAGCGCGCGCAGGUGGUUUCUUAAGUCUGAUGUGAAAGCCCACGGCUCACCCGUGGAGGGUCAUUGGAAACUGGGAGACUUGAGUGCAGAAGAGGAAAGUGGAAUUCCAUGUGUAGCGGUGAAAUGCGUAGAGAUAUGGAGGAACACCAGUGGCGAAGGCGACUUUCUGGUCUGUAACUGACACUGAGGCGCGAAAGCGUGGGGAGCAAACA